rnacentral:lncRNA from 1 species
CGCAUGCGUCCGGCCCGGCCAGUCGAAAGACAGUCAUCCGUCUUUUGUUUUUCAAAAUUAACAAAAUAUGCCCUAAUAUUUGCCCGGAAGAGUGUGAAACAUUCACCCCUGGCCUCUCUUUCACUUGGUUUAUUCUUGUUUGGACGAACGAAGGGGAAGAGGCCGUGGGUCGAGCCCGGCAUCGACGAAGACAGCCAUGCCGGUCAGGCCCCCAACCGCACGCUGCUAUAAAUAGCUGGGCCCCGCCAUCGCUGCUCUUUUUGUGCGACGGUCUGACUCCUUCAGUUUGGGCAUGUUGCGGUGCUGCUGGGAGCAGCUGGGGCUCCCUCCCCUACACCAAGGGGAGGCGGCGGCCCCGGCGUCCUGCGCUGUCUUCGCACGGCUUCCUGCGUGUAGGUAUCUCGGGGCCCUACCGGUUGAGGGGGCCGCAGUCUCGGGCUGAGCAGGAUGAACUGCCAUUACAGACUAGAGUUUCUGAUGCGUCCAUGACGCCACUGUUUGGAACUGACCCAGCCCAGGUCAGGGGGGACUUGGCUGGAGUCGUCCCGGCCUCGGCUGACGCCCUGUUUCUUCCCAGGCCCCUGGUCCUCGCAGGCUGGUCCGCAGCACCACGAGGGUGUUUUAAGAUGUCCGCCGGUGCGUUACCGUUGAAUGAACCAUGA